UGAAUGCACUAACUGUACGUCGCUCUGGAUAAGAGCGUCUGCUAAAUUACUAAAA
rfam:Salmo salar isolate Sally breed double haploid chromosome ssa15, whole genome shotgun sequence.